CCCCGGAGCCUGCAGAGAGCGUGGUCCUGCCCACACCUUGAUUUCAGACUCCUGGCCUCCAGAAGGUGAAAGAAUAGAUUUCUGCUAUUUAAACACCCCCAGUUUGUGGGCCUUUGUUACAGCCGAUCCAGCAGCCGAAUACAGCAGCCAGCGGGUGAGGGAGCCGGUCCCAGGGGCCUCAGCGUUCCAGCACUUCCAGCCUGACCUGAGGAUUGGCAGAGGGAGCAGGUGCACACACGGUUGGCCCCCUGGAAGUAGUCAGUGCCAAGGCAAGUCACUUUCGAGUCUGUGUGUCCUACCGUACCUGAUGGAAACAAAUCCUGGGGGCCCUUAGCACACUGCCAGAGAGGCCGCCUGGGGAAGAGCCCACAGGAUCAUCCUGUGUUGAUGCCCUGCCGUCCAGGCCCCACCGUUCCCGGGUCGUGGGCAUGUCCUACACAGGCUACACAGCAGUCGUCUGGGUCCGCAGCAGGGCCCGGGAGCCGGCCCUGGGGAACCCGUCGUGUGUCUGUCAUGCUUCGGGUACUGUCCUGUGCUUCCGCAUUUGGACUUUUUCUGGUCCGCUCCCCUGACCUGCUGCACAGCUUUGGCCUCAGUUUCCCCAACUGUGAAUGAGAAGCCACCCAAGAUGCCCCCGAGGGCUUUCCUUGCUGGGCAAAGAUUCCCCACUUGAGCCAGACAGCGCUCUGUGACCAGCCAGCUGCUCACGAGCUGUGAUGCAGUGAGUGCUGUUCUCUGCCAAGGACGGUGAGAUAUUUAUUCGAUAAUGGGCCUCCUUUUCUCCCCGCUACAUCUGGCAAUAAUGACGGACCGCCUGGGAG